rnacentral:rRNA from 1 species
UACAGAGGGGGCAAGCGUUGUUCGGAAUUACUGGGCGUAAAGGGCGCGUAGGCGGCCUUCUAAGUCGAACGUGAAAUCCCCGGGCUCAACCCGGGAACUGCGUCCGAUACUGGGAGGCUUGAAUCCGGGAGAGGGAUGUGGAAUUCCAGGUGUAGCGGUGAAAUGCGUAGAUAUCUGGAGGAACACCGGUGGCGAAGGCGGCAUCCUGGACCGGUAUUGACGCUGAGGCGCGAAAGCUAGGGG